rnacentral:tRNA from 1 species
GGGAACUUAGCUCAGUUGCGUAGAGCACUUGGUUGAAGCCCAAGGUGUCGUCGGUUCGAUUCCGUCAGUUCCCA